rnacentral:rRNA from 1 species
CCUACGGGUGGCAGCAGUCGAGAAUCAUUCACAAUGGGGGAAACCCUGAUGGUGCGACGCCGCGUGGGGGAAUGAAGGUCUUCGGAUUGUAAACCCCUGUCAUGUGGGAGCAAAUUAAAAAGAUAGUACCACAAGAGGAAGAGACGGCUAACUCUGGGCCAGCAGCCGCGGUAAUACAGAGGUCUCAAGCGUUGUUUGGAAUCACUGGGCGUAAAGCGUGCGUAGGCUGUUUCGUAAGUCGUGUGUGAAAGGCGCGGGCUCAACCCGCGGACGGCACAUGAUACUGCGAGACUAGAGUAAGGGAGGGGGAACCGGAAUUCUCGGUGUAGCAGUGAAAUGCGUAGAUAUCGAGAGGAACACUCGUGGCGAAGGCGGGUUCCUGGACAUUAACUGACGCUGAGGCACGAAGGCCAGGGGAGCGAAAGGGAUUAGAUACCCUUGUAGUC